rnacentral:ncRNA from 2 species
CUCUUAUCAAGAGAGGUGGAGGGACUGGCCCGAUGAAACCCGGCAACCAGCCUUAGGGCAUGGUGCCAAUUCCUGCAGCGGUUUCGCUGAAAGAUGAGAG